rnacentral:rRNA from 1 species
CCAGACUCCUACGGGAGGCAGCAGUGGGGGAUAUUGCACAAUGGGGGGAACCCUGAUCCAGCGACGCCGCGUGAGUGAAGAAGUAUUUCGGUAUGUAAAGCUCUAUCAGCAGGGAAGAAAGAAAUGACGGUACCUGACUAAGAAGCCCCGGCUAACUACGUGCCAGCAGCCGCGGUAAUACGUAGGGGGCAAGCGUUAUCCGGAUUUACUGGGUGUAAAGGGAGCGUAGACGGCAGCGCAAGUCUGAAGUGAAAUGCCGGGGCUUAACCCCGGAACUGCUUUGGAAACUGAGCAGCUAGAGUGCAGGAGAGGUAAGGGGAAUUCCUAGUGGAGCGGUGAAAUGCGUAGAUAUUAGGAGGAACACCGGUGGCGAAGGCGGCCUGCUGGACUGCAACUGACGUUGAGGCCCGAAAGCGUGGGGAGCAAACAGGAUUAGAUACCCGUGUA